GACAGAGGAGCCAAGCGUUGUCCGGAUUCACUGGGCGUAAAGCGCACGCAGGCGGCCCGGCGCGUGGGGUGUGAAAGCUGGCGGCUUAACUGCCAGACGCCAUCCCAUACGGCUGGGCUCGAGCCCUGAAGAGGUACAUGGAAUUGCCGGUGUAGUGGUGAAAUGCGUAGAGAUCGGCAGGAACACCCAGGGCGAAGGCAGUGGACUGGGCAGGGGCUGACGCUCAGGUGCGAAAGCGUGGGGAGCGAACAGG
rnacentral:rRNA from 1 species